GGUGAACGCUGGCGGUAGGCCUAACACAUGCAAGUCGAACGGCAGCACAGUAAGAGCUUGCUCUUACGGGUGGCGAGUGGCGGACGGGUGAGGAAUACAUCGGAAUCUACUUUUUCGUGGGGGAUAACGUAGGGAAACUUACGCUAAUACCGCAUACGACCUACGGGUGAAAGCAGGGGAUCUUCGGACCUUGCGCGAUUGAAUGAGCCGAUGUCGGAUUAGCUAGUUGGCGGGGUAAAGGCCCACCAAGGCGACGAUCCGUAGCUGGUCUGAGAGGAUGAUCAGCCACACUGGAACUGAGACACGGUCCAGACUCCUACGGGAGGCAGCAGUGGGGAAUAUUGGACAAUGGGCGCAAGCCUGAUCCAGCCAUACCGCGUGAGUGAAGAAGGCCUUCGGGUUGUAAAGCCCUUUUGUUGGGAAAGAAAAGCAGCAGGUUAAUACCCCGCUGUUCUGACGGUACCCAAAGAAUAAGCACCGGCUAACUUCGUG
rnacentral:rRNA from 1 species